rfam:Ixodes scapularis strain Wikel colony gcontig_1107728627268, whole genome shotgun sequence.
CCCUGGUUAGCUCAGUUGGUAGAGCGCUCCACUUGUAAUGGAGAGGUCCCGGGUUCAAUACCCGGACCAGGCA